UACUUAAACUACCUUACUAAUAAAUCCACCUUCCACCAACUUAUAAAUUGAAUUUUCAUUUUUCUAAUCAAAAUUGUAGCUCACCUCUACCCCUACAUAAACUGCACCUUGACCUGAAGUUAGAGAAACCUCUUUUAUGAAAACAUCCUAUAAAAGUAAUCUGGCAACGGCGGUAUACAAGCUAAACAAAUAAAGGAAAGAUAAAACGAGGGUUAUCGAUUACAGGGCAAGCUCCUCUAUUUGGAUAAAGUGCCGCCAAAAUCUUUGGGUUUGAAGAACAACUUUUAC
rnacentral:rRNA from 1 species